AAACAAAUACAAUAAUAAUAUACAAGAGAAAAACAUACAGGAAAAGAAACCAAUACUAUAAUGAUCCAUUUACAUACCUGUAUCAAAGUAUAACAGACAUCAGCAGGUAGUAACAGAAGAAUAUCAGGUCUAGCAGUGCCUGUCAAUCAUUGCAUAGUGUUACACUGUACACUUAUAUAACAGCAAAUACAUUCAAACCUCUCAUGGAUCAUUAAAGUUAAAGAGACAAACUUCACGCAAUCACUAAUGUAUAAUUCAUAACUGAAUAACUCUGUUUUACCGAAGUAUGCAUCGUUAUGUAAUUAAUUCAGCAGCAUACUGCACGUGUAAUGGCGACCAUUACAUGAAUUCACACUUCGAUUAAACAUACUUUUUACAAUGUUACUAACUUGGACUAGUAAUCCCAUAAUAAGGAAAAGUUAACAAACAAACUGAUUUCGUGCAAAAAAAAAAA